rnacentral:rRNA from 1 species
ACUUAAAUUGAAGAGUUUGAUCAUGGCUCAGAUUGAACGCUGGCGGCAGGCCUAACACAUGCAAGUCGAGCGGUAGCACAGAGAGCUUGCUCUCGGGUGACGAGCGGCGGACGGGUGAGUAAUGUCUGGGAAACUGCCUGAUGGAGGGGGAUAACUACUGGAAACGGUAGCUAAUACCGCAUAACGUCGCAAGACCAAAGUGGGGGACCUUCGGGCCUCAUGCCAUCAGAUGUGCCCAGAUGGGAUUAGCUAGUAGGUGGGGUAACGGCUCACCUAGGCGACGAUCCCUAGCUGGUCUGAGAGGAUGACCAGCCACACUGGAACUGAGACACGGUCCAGACUCCUACGGGAGGCAGCAGUGGGGAAUAUUGCACAAUGGGCGCAAGCCUGAUGCAGCCAUGCCGCGUGUGUGAAGAAGGCCUUCGGGUUGUAAAGCACUUUCAGCGGGGAGGAAGGCGUUAAGGUUAAUAACCUUGGCGAUUGACGUUACCCGCAGAAGAAGCACCGGCUAACUCCGUGCCAGCAGCCGCGGUAAUACGGAGGGUGCAAGCGUUAAUCGGAAUUACUGGGCGUAAAGCGCACGCAGGCGGUCUGUCAAGUCGGAUGUGAAAUCCCCGGGCUUAACCUGGGAACUGCAUUCGAAACUGGCAGGCUAGAGUCUUGUAGAGGGGGGUAGAAUUCCAGGUGUAGCGGUGAAAUGCGUAGAGAUCUGGAGGAAUACCGGUGGCGAAGGCGGCCCCCUGGACAAAGACUGACGCUCAGGUGCGAAAGCGUGGGGAGCAAACAGGAUUAGAUACCCUGGUAGUCCACGCCGUAAACGAUGUCGAUUUGGAGGUUGUGCCCUUGAGGCGUGGCUUCCGGAGCUAACGCGUUAAAUCGACCGCCUGGGGAGUACGGCCGCAAGGUUAAAACUCAAAUGAAUUGACGGGGGCCCGCACAAGCGGUGGAGCAUGUGGUUUAAUUCGAUGCAACGCGAAGAACCUUACCUGGUCUUGACAUCCACAGAACUUUCCAGAGAUGGAUUGGUGCCUUCGGGAACUGUGAGACAGGUGCUGCAUGGCUGUCGUCAGCUCGUGUUGUGAAAUGUUGGGUUAAGUCCCGCAACGAGCGCAACCCUUAUCCUUUGUUGCCAGCGGUCCGGCCGGGAACUCAAAGGAGACUGCCAGUGAUAAACUGGAGGAAGGUGGGGAUGACGUCAAGUCAUCAUGGCCCUUACGACCAGGGCUACACACGUGCUACAAUGGCAUAUACAAAGAGAAGCGACCUCGCGAGAGCAAGCGGACCUCAUAAAGUAUGUCGUAGUCCGGAUUGGAGUCUGCAACUCGACUCCAUGAAGUCGGAAUCGCUAGUAAUCGUAGAUCAGAAUGCUACGGUGAAUACGUUCCCGGGCCUUGUACACACCGCCCGUCACACCAUGGGAGUGGGUUGCAAAAGAAGUAGGUAGCUUAACCUUCGGGAGGGCGCUUACCACUUUGUGAUUCAUGACUGGGGUGAAGUCGUAACAAGGUAACCGUAGGGGAACCUGCGGUUGGAUCACCUCCUUACCUUAAAGAA